CAGAAACAGACAAAAUACUUCACAGCAGAUUGCAGUUUAUACAUAAAGUUGUUUAUAAUAUCUACAUAAUGGGUCAAACUCCACUAUCUGUAUAUGGGUGUAAUGUUGCUGAUUGCAGAGGUGAUACAUGUGUAUCACACAGUAGAAUCUGAUGCAAUAUCUGCUAAGUGCUAAGACAGUCCAGAAAUGGGGAAUAGCUACAUUUCAGGGAUCAGGAUACAUGAAGAAACGGACUCAAUUAAACAAACAAGUUUGUUUUAUUAGAGAAAGAGAGAGAGAGAGAGAGAUGGACCAUGAGAAUGGGAAUUGAGGUGUCAAUUAUCCAGAGAGGGGCUAUACGAGAUGGUGGUAGGCAGCUUUAGAAGAUCUACCAUGCUUUGUGGGGAGGUAUCAAGCAGGGACAAAUAUUAGGGUAUUUGGUGGUGGCAAGGAAUGAGCUCAAGGAGAGAAAAUAUAAGGUUCCUCAAUUAAAAAUGGUAGCUGCAACUGUCAACAAACACAGAAUAACUGUAAUCACUCUAUCCCACAUUAUUCAUUAAUUUGUUAAUUAGUGCCCCAUUAAUUUAAUGGUAUAAUCCAUUUUUAUAAACUAGUUUGUUAUGCAUCCAUUUUCAGCUGCUGAUGAAGUAGGAGAAAUUACCUGUCAUAGCAUCGAAAUGUCAUCGGAAUAAAGCCAAGUUUUCAGGUUAUAAAUGUUCAUUACAGCAGCCACAAAAUGAAUUUAUCACUUCAAGCGCCUUUUGAUCUUGCCUCUGUGAAUAAAUGCAAAUUCUUGAAAAAUGGUUAAGUUAAUAAAAUGUAGCAACCACACACUUUAAAAAUAAACCCCUAAUCCUGCAAAACUGUUCCAUGAAGGUGGGCCCUUCUGUUCCUGUGGAAUCAUAUUGACUUCAGUAAGAUUCUGCAUGGACACAGGGAAUGAAUAGCUGGAUUUUGGACAACCUGAGAUAUGCAGAGUUAAUAUUAAGGAGACCAUAACAGAAGUAAUUACAGGAAGGAAGAAAGGUGAAGACCUUUAUACAAAAGUUUCAACAGAGUAGUCAAUCUCCAGGGCAAAAGUUAGCCCUGUAGAAGUGAAACAAAUUGUUUUCCCAUAUACAUUCAUUUGAGAGGUCUUUUUUCCCAGCAGGGGUGGAGUGCUCUCUUUUCUCUCCCCAGUCCAAAUCCAAAAAGGCUGAUGGAUGUGAAUCAAAGCACAACAUUCAUUUCUCACUCUGCCCAGAUCUUGCACUGGAAUCCACUAGUGCAGAAUCUUUACCUGUGCAAUCAGGACCAUAGUCUUUAUGUGACAGUUCAUGUCAAACUAUCCUCUAGUGAAAAAUUCUGGAACCGCAAUAAUGGUAGCAAAUGUUUUCUCUUAAGAUUUACCCGCCCCUCUCCCCAACUCUCUACAGUACCAAAUCUGAAAUAUUAUUGCAGUCUUUUGAAAAUAUUCUUACUUGCUGUGCAUCCAGUGCAACUUCUUUAAAAUAAAACUAAAUUCCUUUACAAUUUGCAGGGGGGUUUCCUGAGCUUCAACUAAGGUUUAGAAGGUCUCCUGAGUGGAGAGAACAAGAGCAACAUUACUAGAGACCAAUAUGCCUUUCCUGUUCCUAGGAUCACAUGCCUACCCAUUGCCUGUUCAGUCUCAUCUGAUUGCUGUUCCUGGGAUAAACAUCCCUUUGCAGGGCCUAAGGGAGGCAAGUGACCGCUCCCCAGAGUAGUGUAUAAAACAAGAAGUGCAACAGACUCGAAGAUGUUUCUCAUAUAUUAGGAUAUAAUUGUGUAACUGUUUACUUAUAACAGUAAUUAUUCAAUUUUCAGAUAGAAAUAUUAUUUUAAUUACCCCCCCCCCCCACACACACACACACUUUCUUUAUCUACUUCUGUUCAUCCUAUGUAGAGGAUUGUGUGAGCUAGAAAGCUUGUCUCAAGAUCUGAACUUUCCCCAAGUUUGCAGUAGGUUUGGAUCUGAGAUUCCAGAUUAGGCCCAUCACUACUCUAAGGGUAUCAAUUUUGUAUCAGAAAAAGGUUUUGCAUCCCAUUUUUGUGGAGGCUUUAAAUCAACCCAGCACCUUUCUGCAGAACCCCUGGAGGUUCCCAACUCAUUUCUGGUGAGUGUAUGAUUCCUCUCUCUCGGUUCAUUGCUAGAUGGUCACCCCCUCACCAGUAAAAAGGCCACCACUGCAGACAGUCUCUCUACUGGGUAGAGCUGCAGAAGAAAGGGCAGAUUCAGUGGCACUGGCACAAUUUGUACAGUGGUGCUGAAAGUCACUGAACAAAAUUAUAAACCCUUCCUGCAUAUGAAUGAAACCACUUCAAGACAGCAGCCCUUGGCUGCUUCCAGAAAGAGGCCACUGAAGGUUGCAGCCUGAUGGGGAGGAAGAGCCGACUCCUCAGCCAGCAGAGGCAGUUGUCUGGCUGUGGGGAACUUCAGCAACUGACUAUGGGGAAGGAAGGCGGGGCCAGCAGCCUCUUCGCUGUUCUAGCCACGGAAUCUCCGGCACGGGGGCGUGUUUUUCCAGACGGGGCGGGCCCACGGAGCCAACACCCCCAGGCGCCGCCUCCGCCCUCCUCCAAGUUUGUGCGCUUUCCAACAGGCUGGACUCUCGCUGUUGCUGUUGCGGCUCAGCCAGAGCCCAAGCGCAGGGCGGCGGCGGCGACUACCUGCAGACGCCCCUGCCCGGCAGCAGAGCGCGGCGGGGCGAUGAAGGGGCGGCGGUGGCGCUGGCAGCACCGCCGCCUCGCCCUGCUGCUGGUGCUCUACACGCUGCUGCUGCUGCUCCUGGUGCCCUACGUGCACGACUACGGGGCCAGGCGGGGGCGCGGGGCGGAGGAGGCGCCGCUGCAGCCCCGCUGCCCCAGCCUGCAGGAGGCGCUGGGCGCGUGGGGCUGGGAGGAGGAGAAAGAGAAGGAGGAGCAGUUGCCCGGGGGCGAGGGGGCGGCGGCUGACAGGAGCGAGGCCGGCGGCGGCGGGAAGCGGCACAUCUACCUACACGCCACCUGGCGCACGGGCUCCUCCUUCCUGGGGGAGCUGUUCAACCAGCACCCGGACGUCUUCUACCUGUACGAGCCCAUGUGGCACCUGUGGCAGGCCCUGUACCCGGCCGACGCGCUCAGCCUGCAGGGCGCCCUGCGCGACAUGCUCCGCUCGCUCUUCCGCUGCGACUUCUCCGUGCUGCGCCUCUACGCCGCCCCGCCCGCGCCCCGGGACCCGCUGGCCCCUCCGGCCCCGGGCGGCAGCGGCGCCAACCUCACCACGGCCGGCCUCUUCGGCUGGCGGACCAACAAGGUGAUCUGCUCGGCCCCGCUCUGCCCGGACGCCCCCCGGGCCCGCCACGAGAUCGGCCUGAUCGACGGCGCCGCCUGCGAGCGGAGCUGCCCGCCGCGGGGCCUGCGGGAGCUGGAGGCCGAGUGCCGCAAGUACCCGGUGGUGGUGAUCAAGGACGUGCGGCUGCUGGAACUGGGCGCGCUGCUGCCGCUGCUGCGGGAGCCCGGCCUCAACCUGCGGGUCAUCCAGCUCUUCCGCGACCCCCGCGCCGUGCACAACUCCCGCCUCAAGGCCAAGCAGGCGUUGCUGCGGGAGAGCAUCCAGAUGCUGCGGAGCCGGCACCGCGCCGAGCCCCGGGGACUCCCCCGCCGGCAGCUCCUGCCCGCGGCCGGGCUGGGCGGCGGCGGGAUCCGGGCGCAGCAGCAGCACCGGGCCGAGUUCUUCCUGAGCGGCGCGCUGGAGGUGAUCUGCCAGGCCUGGCUCCGCGACCUGCUCUUCUCCCGCCGCGCCCCCGCCUGGCUGCGCCGCCGCUACACCCAGCUGCGCUACGAGGACCUGGUGCGGGAGCCCCGCGCCCAGCUGCGCCGCCUGCUGCGCUUUGCCGGCCUGCCCGUGCCGCCCGCCAUGGAGAGCUUCGUGCUCAACAUGACCCGCGGUGCCGCCUACUCCUCCGACCGGCCCUUCCUCAUCUCCGCCCGGGACGCGCGGGAGGCCAUCCACGCCUGGAGGGAGCGGCUCAGCCAGGAGCAGGUGCGCCAGGUGGAGGCUGCCUGCGGCGAAGCCAUGAGCCUCUUGUCCUACCCGCCCAGCGCCGAGCCCGGCGGCGGAGCCCGGGAGGGGGACAGCAGGUAGCGGCUGCCUCCUGGGCAGGACAUGCAGAUUAAACUAAGGACAUUCAUUCCCCGCCGCCCCCCUCCAAUGGUGUCACAGUGUGAGCUAUGGUUGUUUGGGUACCUUGAGCUUGAAUUGCAGACAUUGGAAGGAUGUGUUACUGUAACAGCCAAGGAAUGAAGAAAAAAUCAUCCCUGAAGAGACUACAUUCCACAUCCUUUCAGAACUUCAGUUUAUGCUAACAACUGUACAGUUCUGCAUAGCAGAACAAAUUCUAAUCACCUAAAACAGGUGGACAUGACGACUUCAUUUCCAGUAAGGAUAUGACGGUGCAAUAUGGACAACUAUGAACCUCCAAUAUGGAGUGGUUUAUUUUACAAUUUGAAGCUGCCAGUCUAUGGUCAAUUGUAGGUGCUUUUUAUGGCAACAAGGACACUUAAAUUUUUAAAGUUACUGACAAUACUUGGACAAAACAUCUACCGUUGCAAAAACUCAGUAUUUGCAAGUGUAGUAUUUUACACUUCAGUAUUGUAGCAAAAUUUUCAGAGAUCCAGGUGGUGGGUUUUUCUAAAUGCUCUGCUUCCACACCCUGUAACUGGGAAUUAUUUUAUCCUAAUACCAGGACUGUGUUUUUAGAAUUCUGAAUACAGUAAAUUAUAUAGUAAGUUGUGAGUUUGAUUAUACAAACCCCCCCUCCCCCCCCGGUGGGGGAGAGAAACAGUUGAAGUGCUGCUUCCGUUUCUAUUGCAUUGUGACCUAAUUCACAGAGAGCACAGUAACACCACACCAUACUCAUACAAGAAACUGCACAGAAACCUCUGUUUGUUUGGGAGGGGAAAAAGUUCAGGGCUGAUCACUGGUGUCAGUUGGCAUAGCUGAGGUUCUGACCUCUUAUGUUAAGCUCUUACUGAAAUGCCAAGCUAAAAUCCACUUCAAGUUUGCCUAUAACUCAUACCUUAAAUAACCCUUUGGUGCUGAGAGCUGGGAUUUCCACAGUGCUCAUUGUUAAUGUACUGUAUAGACCUUUUAAAAGAAUGCUAAGGCUAUGGGGCAUUUGUUCAAUGUGAUCUGGGUUUAAUUUAGCUCCAAAUUUAAGUCUUACAAAGAGCUUGUUUUACAAAAGCUAGGACUAAUAGAAUUCCCAUAGAAAGCUGAUGAAUUAGCCAUUCCCUAUACAGCUGGAAAUCCUUUCAUUGCAGCUUUGUUAUGGAAUGCAAAUCUGAAAUGGACAUUUGUAUUUCUCUCAGUUUGGACAAGCAGGCCAGGUCUACAUUAGAAAUGUUUACUGCACAGCAGUGCCUGUUAAGGCUGUGGAUUUUUUGUGACGUUUCCAUGCCUGCAAAAGCCUUAGUGUAGACAGUUGUAUCGGCAUAAGUGCUUUUGCUUAUUUCAGUCACUGAACUUGUACAUCUGUAUCAGCAAAGUGCAGGCUAGGCAUCAGUCAUUCUAGCUGAACUUCUAACAGAGAGCAGUAAUUUACCAGUAGACUUAAAAUCUUAAGUGGUGGUAAUAGACAAGAAAUGUUAAAAAGGAUUAGCCUGACAGCAUACCAUGGACCUGUCCUUUUGUGCCUAGAUGCUUGUGGACAGGAGUCACUCUGUCAUGAUUUUGAUUGUUACAAACAUCAGUGCUCAGUGACAUCCGUAUAGAUUUGUCAGUAGAUCAAACAGAGUAACUUGCAGAGGAAACAGCAUGGUGGCAUGCAAUAUGGAUUCAAAUGUGGCCAGCCUUGAUAGUAGUGUGUGCACACAACAGUGUUUUGAAAGAUUCUGUAAAUAGAUGCACACUCACCAGACUAAGAUUAGCAAAUCAGAAGUCAUCAUUCCAUAGUAAAUACUGACUACUUUAAGAGUUUGGUUUGUGUAGCUUUGGGCAGCUGUUCUUUGAACUCUUCAGAAACAAUCUGCAGUGUAAUUAAAGCCACUUUCCUAACCCUGACCUGUACAUGUGAGCCACUGUUGAAGUUUACAUUUUUUCUAUUUUAUUUCUUAUGUCAAGUGGUGGAAGGGGAAGAGUUGUUACUGAAAGUAAAUUCCUCAUGUUGUCCCCUUAAUGUAUUUUGGAUCCUGCAGUCCUUCCCCUCGCAAAAAAUGUACUGAAGUUCAAUGGGAAUUCUGCUGAAUUUAGGACUUCAGCUUUAAGCACAGCAUGACUGUUUCCGGCAGUAUUUCUGUAUUAAAACUGCAUGUCGAAGCCAUUUCUUUGGCUUUGUAAUUUACCAGUUCCUUCAAAGUUUCCCUCUUUUAGAUUUAGGCUUAUUUUUUCUAUAUCUUUUAUUUUACAAAAUGGUAUAAAAAACCCAUAUUAGAGGCAUUUGGAUUUUUAUCAGAUGGAAUCAAACUGUCUUCCACAAGCUUAAAACUUACAAUAUAAUGAAAGGAUAUUAAGCUACUUCACAUUGCAAACCUGUCUUACUAAAACAGUAUUUUCAAAUACAAGAACAAAUCCUCUUUCUAAAUGUCCUCUGGCCCUACAAUGUACACUGGAUAUAUGAGAACCGUGCUCUUGUUACUGAGCUGUUCUGGUCCGCUUCACUCCCCUGAAGUUUGAACUGGAUCUUUCUAAGAUGUGAUAUUGCCUUCCUUGGAUUCCCCCUCCCACCCUCUUCUUUCUGUUCUCUGGGACUUUAGUCCACGUACAUGAAGGGUAUUACUCCCACUACUCACAUCCCACUGAGCCUCCCUGGCCUGUAAGCUGAAUGUUUUGAGAAAGUAAAUGGCUACUAAAUGACUCAUUGAAUACUGAUUUUGCUCUGACAGGCCUUUUUCCUAUCUUACAAGCUUAACUUCUCAUGCUUUAACUUUUUUUUUUUCCAUUUAAGCACUUAAAUUCCAUUCUCACUCGUGCAGAAGCAGGAAUUCUGCCAAAAUGGAGUUGGAGCAAGUUAUUAGUGGUGAGUUACAACUUCAAAACAGAAGUUCUAAAAGGCAACACUGAACCUUUCUCUGAAGGGUAUUAGAAUGAGUGUAGUGUUCUCAGGUUUACUGUGCAGAAUCAGCCUUCUGUAACCAAGAUACUGGAUUUUUUAAAGUGAAUAACUACUUGUCUGAUCAUUCGUGUCUGAAGAUAAAUUGCAGGUUUUGUUAAAUUGAAAUUAUGUAGAAGGACCAAGUCCUUCAACCCCCACUUGUUUCAAUGGGGCUAUGUGCAUGUGUAAGCUUACAGAACUGGGCUCUGUGGUGGUUAUAGGUAGGCGGUGCCACCAGCUCUAUUAAGGUUACCCAACGCUUCCCAUUAAAGACCGUUUUCAAUUAUUAUCUUUUGUCAAAUGGUAAGCAUGUAGGCUAAAAUGUUCCAUGCUGUGCAUCUACUUCAGUCUGAAAUCUUUUUAGAAAAUUUCCCCAUGAUGGUUCAGCUGUUUUAGAGAAUGGGGGGGCGAAGAAAUACAUUUUUCACUAUUCAAAAUUCUCGUGACUUCUUGGAGAAAUUAGAGCCCCUAUCCUGUGGAGCAAGGACUCUGUGGGCAGAUGCUGUGCCUUUGUAUUGGGCUGUGCCUUUUACCAUCCCCAUGAAAGUUUGUCCAAAAGGUAGCUAAGUUAUAUAUACACCUUUCAAAAAUGGCAGUUAGCACAUGCUCAUACUUAAAUUUUAGCUGCUAAAAUCUAAAGAGUCUUUCCUUGCUUAGCAUGUUUUGAGCCUCUCACAGCCCCUAGCAUCCUGGUCAAUCCCCACAAAACAUGCUCCCCCACCCCCUCACACUACAUGGCAAAGGCAGAUGUUUUCCUGUAACUGCUGCUCCUGCCUGUUCUAGGCUAGGCACUAGAACUGGGGGAAUCUGACUUUCCUUUACUCUGUGACCCUUCUGCUGGUACCCAGGCAGCAUGCAGGUGGAAGCACUCACCUGCGUGAAGUCAGUCAAUGGGAGCUGUACUUUGAACAACUAAAGUGCCAAUAUAAUAGGAAGUAAUCUGAUUUAUCAGGUUAUGGGUGUCAAGAUAGGCACCCACACAGGAGGAACUGAGAUUUUAAGUAACCAUGAUCUGUGAAACUGGGUUCAAAGUUAAUGUGCUAAGGUUUUGUGACACACUCAUAUUCUAGAAAUAAGUGCCACAGAAACACCUAUGAGGAAAUUAUUUUUUUUUGGUCCUCAGAGCCAGGUUCCGUAGUGUGCGUUAAAUCAGAUAUAGGGCUAUACACUGUACAAUGGGGAUAAAAUAAAACUGAGUGCACUGAACGAGACAGAGGUCCCAUAGGAAAAGUGAUCAUAAUUAAUUAAACUAGCAAUGCUUACACACAAGGGGGGUCAAAUUAAGGUCAUAGGAACCUUAAUUGUAGCGUUUCUUGUCACAAGAGCUUGUCUUUGCAACUUUAAUAAUCUUAACAUGUGGAUCACAUGUAAACAAAAUCUAAGUUCCACUGGUAAGUGACAUACAUAAGACUAAGAGGUAGUUGUGCAGGAGAGAUAGAAAAGAUUUUUUUUUUUGUCCAGGAGUAUCAACAAAUUAGUUUCACAUCUACUAGCACUGGGGCAAAGAAACGAGCAUAGUCCACAUUAAAAGCAGAAGUUUGAAAUUUAUUUUUUUACAUCCUUCCACAUGACCCCACUGAAAGCACUUCCAUGAUUUUUCAGCAGACAUAUGAGCACACCAAGCAAGAUUUAGCUGUGUUCUGAGACAGUUCAGGCACUAUGAUUGGGUAAUUGUACUACACUGCCUUUUCCACGAUCGAGUGAAUGUUAACAUCCUGUAUAAAAAUCUUUAAGUAGCUGCAAAACAGCUUUCCAAACACAAUUGAUACAUUAGCUUCUGUGGAGUGUUAAAGACGAUUAUAGUCUUAACUUUGUCGAUCUCAUUUAGGACAAAGCUCAUGCUGACCCAAAGUACUAAACAUAAUUUUGUUUUAAGGGCUAGAGCAGUAAAGCAGUUUUUGUCAGUAAGCUCAGUUCUUAAGCAAAUUCCAUACCCCAUUCCUUGAACCACAGGGUACACUGACUUUUGGUAAGCCAUAGUUUAAAUAUUGAAUUGACAUUAAUAUCUUAACAUUACACUACUGCUAUGAAGGCAUAAUGCAAAGGCAGAUGUCAGUCACAUCCUUGAUACAGGUAUCAGCCAAUGAAGUGAUCUCACAUAUUGUAGACUGACUGACUCAGCAACUCACACCUGUUAGGAGGAAGACCCUCUCUUAAACUUCAAUCUGAUCUGACUAAGAUAUUAACAUAGAGGGGUUGCCGUAUUGUUCAUCACAGUCUUAAACUAUGAUUCCAUUCAGAGACUCAGAGCAAGCUUGAGGGGGAAAAGAAGACAGGAAUUUCUGUAACUUUCCAUAGUUUUGUUACUACAUCUAUUUGUAUGUCUAAGUCAAGCUCUAGCCUAACCAACCCAGCCUCAGUACUGGCAUGAAGUUAAAAUUCAUCACACUGUUCCACGGAAAGGAUUUUCACAUUUAGAGCAAAAUUUCAGUAUACGGUAAAUUGGAAAAGCACAUGAACCACAAAGGACAAGAAAAAAUCAGCACCAGCUGAAAAUGUAAACCAUGCCAUGCUAAAGAUUAGAUAGUUCUUGUGAGUUUUUAGUAAAGAAAUCCUAUUAAAGGGUAAUUUUCUGUAAUGGUUAGUGAUUUCUAUAGUAACAAGUGGUUGGUGCUGUUAGUUCAUUUAGCUUUGAUUCAUUCUGAAGUCUAAACUGGGAAGAAAGGUUGAAGUCAAAACUGAUAAAGUGAAAGACCCGUGUUCAUUUCAUUGUUUUAAAGCAGUGGCUCUGAACCCUUUCACACUAUUGUACCUCUUUCAGGAAGUUGAUUUGUCUUGCAUUCCCCAAGUUUCACCUCACUUAAACUACUUGCUUACAACAAUCAAACAAAAAUACACGUGUCACAGCACACUUAUUGAAAAAUUGCGUACUUUCUCAUUUUUACCAUAUAAUUAUAAAAUCAAUUGGAAUAUAAAUUAUACUUUUUAGUGUAUAUUAUAUAGAGAAGUAUAAACCAGUCAUUGUCUAUAUGAAAUUUUAGUUUGUACUGACUUCGCUAGUGCUUUUUAUGUAGCCUG